AUUGAACGCUGGCGGCAUGCCUUACACAUGCAAGUCGAACGGUAACGGGCCUUCGGGUGCCGACGAGUGGCGAACGGGUGAGUAACAUAUCGGAACGUACCUUUCAGUGGGGGAUAACGUAGCGAAAGUUACGCUAAUACCGCAUAUUCUGUGAGCAGGAAAGCAGGGGAUCGCAAGACCUUGCGCUGAUUGAGCGGCCGAUGUCAGAUUAGCUAGUUGGUGAGGUAAAGGCUCACCAAGGCGACGAUCUGUAGCGGGUCUGAGAGGAUGAUCCGCCACACUGGGACUGAGACACGGCCCAGACUCCUACGGGAGGCAGCAGUGGGGAAUUUUGGACAAUGGGGGCAACCCUGAUCCAGCCAUGCCGCGUGAGUGAAGAAGGCCUUCGGGUUGUAAAGCUCUUUCGGCCGGGAAGAAAUCGCACAGGCUAAUACCUUGUGUGGAUGACGGUACCGGAAUAAGAAGCACCGGCUAACUACGUGCCAGCCGCCGCCGUAACAC
rnacentral:rRNA from 1 species